rnacentral:rRNA from 1 species
AUUGAACGCUAGCGGGAUGCUUUACACAUGCAAGUCGAACGGCAGCGCGGACUUCGGUCUGGCGGCGAGUGGCGAACGGGUGAGUAAUGUAUCGGAACGUGCCCAGUAGCGGGGGAUAACUACGCGAAAGCGUAGCUAAUACCGCAUACGCCCUGCGGGGGAAAGAGGGGGAUCUUAGGACCUGCCGCUUUCGGACGGGCCGAAAUCGGAUUAGCUAGUUGGUGGGGUAACGGCCCACCAAGGCGACGAUCCGUAGCUGGUUUGAGAGGACGACCAGCCACACUGGGACUGAGACACGGCCCAGACUCCUACGGGAGGCAGCAGUGGGGAAUUUUGGACAAUGGGGGCAACCCUGAUCCAGCCAUCCCGCGUGUGCGAUGAAGGCCUUCGGGUUGUAAAGCACUUUUGGCAGGAAAGAAACGUCGCGGGCUAAUACCCCGUGGAACUGACGGUACCUGCAGAAUAAGCACCGGCUAACUACGUG